rnacentral:rRNA from 1 species
GACGAACGCUGGCGGCGUGCCUAAUACAUGCAAGUCGAACGCAGGGGGGACGGGGGAGUAACACGUGGGUAACCUCCCAUCAGAGGGGAUAACACUUCGAAACAGGUGCUAAACCGAUACUGAUGGAUGGACCCGCGGUGCAUUAGCUAGUUGGUGAGGUAACGGCCGACCAAGUCCACGAUGCAUAGCGGACCUGGGAGGGUGAGCGGCGACACUGGAACUGAGACACGGCCCAUACUCCUACGGGAGGCAGCAGUAGGGAAUAUUCGGCAAUGGACGAAAGUCUGACCGAGCAACGACGCGUGAGUGAAGAAGGUUUUCGGAUCGUAAAACUCUGUUGUUAGAGAAGCGGUAUCUAACCAGAAAGCCACGGCUAACUACGUGCCAGCAGCCGCGGUAAUUC